GAUGAACGCUAGCUACAGGCUUAACACAUGCAAGUCGAGGGGCAUCAGGAAGAAAGCUUGCUUUCUUUGCUGGCGACCGGCGCACGGGUGAGUAACACGUAUCCAACCUGCCCUUUACUCGGGGAUAGCCUUUCGAAAGAAAGAUUAAUACCCGAUGGCAUAAUGAUUCCGCAUGGUUUCAUUAUUAAAGGAUUCCGGUAAAGGAUGGGGAUGCGUUCCAUUAGGUUGUUGGUGAGGUAACGGCUCACCAAGCCUUCGAUGGAUAGGGGUUCUGAGAGGAAGGUCCCCCACAUUGGAACUGAGACACGGUCCAAACUCCUACGGGAGGCAGCAGUGAGGAAUAUUGGUCAAUGGGCGUUAGCCUGAACCAGCCAAGUAGCGUGAAGGAUGAAGGCUCUAUGGGUCGUAAACUUCUUUUAUAUAAGAAUAAAGUGCAGUAUGUAUACUGUUUUGUAUGUAUUAUAUGAAUAAGGAUCGGCUAACUCCGUGCCAGCAGCCGCGGUAAUACGGAGGAUCCGAGCGUUAUCCGGAUUUAUUGGGUUUAAAGGGAGCGUAGGUGGACUGGUAAGUCAGUUGUGAAAGUUUGCGGCUCAACCGUAAAAUUGCAGUUGAUACUGUCAGUCUUGAGUACAGUAGAGGUGGGCGGAAUUCGUGGUGUAGCGGUGAAAUGCUUAGAUAUCACGAAGAACUCCGAUUGCGAAGGCAGCUCACUGGACUGCAACUGACACUGAUGCUCGAAAGUGUGGGUAUCAAACAGG
rnacentral:rRNA from 1 species